UCAUGUUGUUGUAUAUUCCUCACAAGGUCAGCUGAUAUGGGGGUACUCCUUUUUAUUUAAGAUGCCUGUGAGGUGUUCCAGUUGCAUCGGUCUAAAGCAAACCUAAUUAACCUUAAAUGCUGUUAUUUUUGGAUUGAGACCACCUGUUUUCUUGAAAAUAAAAGUACAGUCUGCCUUGCAAAUGACAAUUUAAUGACAAUUUAAUGACGGGGAUAGAGACUGUUGUAGUACUGGAUUGCUCAGUCUCAAAUUCUGUGAAUGUGAGGGCAGGAUCUUGAAACAGAGCUUAUCAUCAGGUCUACUGUGACACCACCUCAAGGACAAGCCAAUGAAUCGUGUAUAAGUUUGUUUGGAAGAGGCCGUAUGUUGAAAAUAACCAUCUAACAAUUUCUUACUUCAUGGUGAAUGAAUAUGUGGAUAAUUUGGGGCUGAUAUUCCUUCCUAUGGGCUUGUUAAUGUCAUCUUUACAGGAAGCACUUAGGAAACUAAGCUUCAGUAUCUCCAACUGAAUGCUCCACAUCACUUCUUGCUUUGAAAAUACUACUCUGAUAAUCGCACCUUGAUUCCUUCCUGAGAGCGGUUUUCCUUCCUACAUUCCGCCACACAGAGAGAACGCAUCAGGUUCAGUCUACACUGGUUAUUAUCCAGCUAAGUGCAAGUUAUCCUGUGCUGUCUUAUACUACAUUUUCCCCUGAAGCUCUGUUCAGAGAGAGUGAUCCUGAAGGUGUGCUCAGAGAGCAUGAUCCACGUGCUCAGAGUGAGCUGGAGGUUGUGAGCAGUUAGGCAGUCAUUGCUCUUCAAAUUUCCGUGGAAUUCUAGGCAAUUUCCCUGAAAAGAUGGCUGAUUUGUGUGUGUGUGUGUGUGUGCAAGCAGCAUAGGUAAGCACAUUCUUGCAAAAGCAGUGAAAAAGAUGUUUUAUUGUUGUUGUCAGCCUGUUCACCAACUCCCUUCUGUGGCUUAGCUGAAACACACCACAUCUAUGUUUUUAUAUUGAUAUGUCUCUUUGUUGAGAUCCAAGUAGACAAGAAGAAAAGUAUUAUAAAUUCCUGAGUACACUGUUACUAACUGCUUAUAUUCCUUUGCAAAAUAUCACAGACUUGCUAUUUGUUGCUUAGAGAAACCAACAGAUGCUCUGAAAACAAGUGUGAAAGAGCAAUAAUGAAAGGAUUGGAGCAUUGAUUUCAAAGAAAUAAUCAGUCUUGGAAAGGCACAGACAAAAACAUGAUGCUAUCUCUGCACAGCAUUUCCAGUCAAACGUUCACACCUGCAUUAGAAGCACCGGCCUGCUCCAAAUCAACAGCUUUUUUAAAAUUUGCAUUAAUGAUUCAUUAAAAGCAGAAAAGGUAUCAUGGAAGCACUGGUAAGUGUUAAGAAAGGCUUUAAUUUUAUCAGUUGUAUUUAUUGCUUUUUCUUUUUGUUGUCUGUCUUCUACCUGGUGUGAAAGGGAGAAAUACCUGUCUCUCAGGGUGGAAGAGGAACCUUGGUGACACUGGAUGAAGUGGGGACAGUUACUUUCCUCACUGGAGUACCAGUCUAAUUGCUGUCUCUACAGCUUGGUUAAGCUCUUCAGCAGCAGGCGUGGAAAGCUCUUGCCUCACCAUUGUGUGCUAUCAGGACUGGGAAACAGACUGAUAGUCAUUUUGUGAUCUGGC